rnacentral:rRNA from 1 species
AUUGAACGCUGGCGGCAGGCCUAACACAUGCAAGUCGAGCGAGCGGCGGACGGGAGAGUAAUGUAUGGGGACUGCCCGAUAGCGGGGGAUAACUACUGGAAACGGUGGCUAAUACCGCAUACUAUCGGAUAACCCAUAUGUGAUUGGAUAGUAGGUGGGGUAAAGGCGCACCUAGGCGACGAUCUCUAGCUGGUCUGAGAGGAUGAUCAGCCACACGUGGACUGAGACACGGCCCAGACUCCGACGGAGGCAGCAUUGGGGAAUAUUGCACAAUGGGCGCAAGCCUGAUGCAGCCAUGCCGCGUGUAUGAAGAAGGCCUUAGGUUUGUAAAGUACAUUCAGCGGGGAGGCGUUACCCGCAGAAGAAGCACCGGCUAACUCCGUGCCAGCCGCCGCGGUAAUUC